CACUGUCACCACCCACUUUCCCCUCCCCUCUAACUAGGUGGGAAACUUUGGGGCUUCGGGACUCAGCUCACCACUGAGGGAAACAUGAUUCUGAAGUACUGCUGGCUGUUCGCACUUGCCGUACCCAGUGCCUCGAUGAAGACUUUGGAUGGUGUAGGCCUUUGGUCUGGGUUGAGUCCGAUGAUGCGGUAGGAUGCGUUUUGGAUUUAUUAGGUGCUGAACUUUACAAAACCAGUUUAGGAACGGAAAUGUAAUAAAUGGGACAUGGGCCCAAGGCUUUUCUCAAAGAAACACGUCAAGGUUUCUUUAGCAGGAAAGGCUGAUCUUGGCCAGUUGCUGUCGACAUUUGCAGCAGCUGGAAAGGGUAGUUGAGCUGGAGAGCCUGCAAAAGGGAUCAAACAAUGAUCAUCAAGGCCAUUCAGCAGCAGAUGGAACAUGAGAUGUUCUCUCGGGGAAACCGGCAAGGAGUGAAGACAGAGCCACCAGUAACUAUUGAAACCUCCUGAGAACAUACAUAAAGAUGGAGCAGACCAACUCUAGCCUCAGAUCUAUCCUUUGCAUUUUCAAUUUUCAAUUAUUUGAUUGACCCAAUUUUAUAACAUUUGUUAAGCAUCCCAAGAUGUUCUGUAAUCUGUC